rnacentral:rRNA from 1 species
GUGGGGAAUCUUGCGCAAUGGGCGAAAGCCUGACGCAGCCAUGCCGCGUGAAUGAUGAAGGUCUUAGGAUUGUAAAAUUCUUUCACCGGGGACGAUAAUGACGGUACCCGGAGAAGAAGCUCCGGCUAACUUCGUGCCAGCAGCCGCGGUAAUACGAAGGGGGCUAGCGUUGCUCGGAAUUACUGGGCGUAAAGGGCGCGUAGGCGGACAGCGUAGUCAGAGGUGAAAGACCAGGGCUCAACCUUGGAAUUGCCUUUGAUACUGACUGUCUUGAGUUUGGGAGAGGUGAGUGGAACUCCGAGUGUACAGGUGAAAUUCGUAGAUAUUCGGAAGAACACCAGUGGCGAAGGCGACUCACUGGCCCAAUACUGACGCUGAGGCGCGAAAGCGUGGGGAGCAAACAGGAUUAGAUACCCGAGUAGUCC